UAGCUCAGUUGUUAGAGUGCUUGCCUCACAUGCACAAGGCCCUGGGUUCAAUUCCCAG
rnacentral:tRNA from 1 species